CCUGGCGGUAGUGGUUCCGAGCCCCGGAAACGUUUCAAAGGCCUGCAGCCGACUGGCGUAGACGCUUUCUCUUUGGAUUCUCACCCUGUGAGAUGGACACGGCAGGGAGAAUUCAGCUUUACAGGUGGGAGAAGUAAAGGUCACAGAGGUUGAGUGACUCUCCAUAGAAGCACGUGCUGGGAUUUUAGCAAUGGUUCCAGACAGACCCCCGUGUUUUCUCCUUCCUGACGUUGGCCCAGUCGUUAACCGUUCAAAACUUAUUUCGUCAUCUGCGAAAUGGGGACAACGAUAGCCACCUUGUGAAACUGGUGUGAAGAACACAGAAAAGAACAGGAGAAGAAUCUAGUGCGAGGACUGGCCUGUGCUGAAUGUUCCAGACUGUCACAUCCCUCAGUGUCUCCAUGGAAGUGCCCACUAUGGGAGAAUGGCCGAAUGACAUGAUUGGAAUGGAAUGCAACAGUCAUCUUAUCUGACCACACAGAUACCUGCCAGGGGAGGAAUGCCUCACAUCCUCAUGAUAAUUUUGAAGACUUUCUGAGAAGGGCCUGGUGAGACCAACACAGCUCCUGGACAGGGUCCACCACCUCCAUCACUGUGCCUUGUCCCUGUCUUCCUUGCACUAGUGUGUGUGUGUAAUCACAGGUCACCUACUGACUGUGUGCAUGGAAAGCUCACUUAUCUUUGCAUCUGUGGGACCCAGAACAAAAGCCAUGAAGUAUUUUGAAACGUCAUGAUCUUGCAAUUUGAUGAGUUCCAGCCCCGCAUCCGGCUAUGCA